rnacentral:rRNA from 1 species
UACGUAGGUCCCGAGCGUUGUCCGGAUUUAUUGGGCGUAAAGCGAGCGCAGGUGGUUUAUUAAGUCUGGUGUAAAAGGCAGUGGCUUAACCAUUGUAUGCAUUGGAAACUGGUAGACUUGAGUGCAGGAGAGGAGAGUGGAAUUCCAUGUGUAGCGGUAAAAUGCGUAGAUAUAUGGAGGAACACCGGUGGCGAAAGCGGCUCUCUGGCCUGUAACUGACACUGAGGCUCGAAAGCGUGGGGAGCAAACAGG